GGNGCUCUCCCNUAUGGUCGACCUGCAGGCGGCCGCGAAUUCACUAGUGAUUAGAGUUUGAUCCUGGCUCAGGAUGAACGCUGGCGGCGUGCCUAACACAUGCAAGUCGAGCGAAGCGCUUUGGUGGAAUUCUUCGGAAGGAAAGUGAAGUGACUGAGCGGCGGACGGGUGAGUAACGCGUGGGUAACCUGCCUCAUACAGGGGGAUAACAGUUAGAAAUGACUGCUAAUACCGCAUAAGACCCCAGUACCGCAUGGUACAGAGGUAAAAACUGAGGUGGUAUGAGAUGGACCCGCGUCUGAUUAGCUAGUUGGUGAGGUAGAGGCUCACCAAGGCGACGAUCAGUAGCCGACCUGAGAGGGUGACCGGCCACAUUGGGACUGAGACACGGCCCAAACUCCUACGGGAGGCAGCAGUGGGGAAUAUUGCACAAUGGGGGAAACCCUGAUGCAGCGACGCCGCGUGAGCGAAGAAGUAUUUCGGUAUGUAAAGCUCUAUCAGCAGGGAAGAAAAUGACGGUACCUGACUAAGAAGCACCGGCUAAAUACGUGCCAGCAGCCGCGGUAAUACGUAUGGUGCAAGCGUUAUCCGGAUUUACUGGGUGUAAAGGGAGCGUAGACGGAGCAGCAAGUCUGAUGUGAAAACCCGGGGCUCAACCCCGGGAGUGCAUUGGAAACUGUUGAUCUAGAGUGCUGGAGAGGUAAGUGGAAUUCCUAGUGUAGCGGUGAAAUGCGUAGAUAUUAGGAGGAACACCAGUGGCGANNCGGCUUACUGGACAGUGACUGACGUUGAGGCUCGAAAGCGUGGGGAGCAAACAGGAUUAGAUACCCUGGUAGUCCACGCCGUAAACNAUGACUACUANGGUGUCGGGUAGCAAAGCUAUUCNGUGCCNCANCCNACNNNANAAGUAGUCCACCUGGGGGAGUACGUUCGCAAGAAUGAAACUC
rnacentral:rRNA from 1 species